rnacentral:rRNA from 1 species
GACGAACGCUGGCGGCGUGCCUAAUACAUGCAAGUAGAACGCACAGUUUAUACCGUAGCUUGCUACACCAUAGACUGUGAGUUGCGAACGGGUGAGUAACGCGUAGGUAACCUGCCUGGUAGCGGGGGAUAACUAUUGGAAACGAUAGCUAAUACCGCAUAAUAUUAAUUAUUGCAUGAUAAUUAAUUGAAAGGUGCAAUUGCACCACUACCAGAUGGACCUGCGUUGUAUUAGCUAGUAGGUGAGGUAACGGCUCACCUAGGCGACGAUACAUAGCCGACCUGAGAGGGUGAUCGGCCACCCUGGGACUGAGACACGGCCCAGACUCCUACGGGAGGCAGCAGUAGGGAAUCUUCGGCAAUGGACGAAAGUCUGGCCGAGCAACGCCGCGUGAGUGAAGAAGGUUUUCGGAUCGUAAAGCUCUGUUGUAAGAGAAGAACGGGUGUGAGAGUGGAAAGUUCACACUGUGACGGUAUCUUACCAGAAAGGGACGGCUAACUACGUG